AUGUGGCGCGCUAGCCGGCUCCCGGCGGAGGUGGAGCGGGGGCUGUCGCAACUCGAGGGGCGGCUCGGGAAGCGAGCGGACCCGCAAGCGCAGCAGCGGCUCACCGGGCUUGACGAGGCGGCGGCGGUGCAGGUACUGCAGAAGAUCGCGGCGUCCAAGCAGGUCUUUGGUGUUGUGGCCUCGUGGGGACGAGGCAUCGGCCCCCUAAUAACCUACUUCAAGAAGCCUGUGGCUAUUGACUUCGAGAAGAAGGAGAAGGCUGUAACCGAGAAGAAGCAGGCAGGCGAGAAUCGCAAUGUCAUCUUCGCCCGCACCCAGGCCCUGCUCGAUGACUUUGUUGUUGGCCAGAGGAAUCCGUCUUUGGUGUUGUGGCCUCGUGGGGACGAGGCAUCAACGUCCCGGUCGGAGAGGAGGAGUGCACGGUGGAAGGAUGAGAUGCUACCGUCUAUCGCUAGGUGCUGGCAGGCGCACGUCUCCAUGAACCCAUCGCUGGGUAGCGUCUUUGGUGUUGUGGCCUCGUGGGGACGAGGCAUCAGCCCCCUAAUAACCUACUUCAAGAAGCAUGUGGCUAUUGACUUCGAGAAGAAGGAGAAGGCUGUAACCGAGAAGAAGCAGGCAGGCGAGAAUCGCAAUGUCAUCUUCGCCCGCACCCAGGCCCUGCUCGAUGACUUUGUUGUUGGCCAGAGGAAUCCUUGCUGGGUAGCGUCUUUGGUGUUGUGGCCUCGUGGGGACGAGGCAUCAACGUCCCGGUCGGAGAGGAGGAGUGCACGGUGGAAGGAUGAGAUGCUACCGUCAAUCGCUAGGUGCUGGCAGGCGCACGUCUCCAUGAACCCAUCGCUGGGUAGCGUCUUUGGUGUUGUGGCCUCGUGGGGACGAGGCAUCGGCCCCCUAAUAACCUACUUCAAGAAGCCUGCGGCUAUUGACUUCGAGAAGAAGGAGAAGGCUGUCACCGAGAAGAAGCAAGCAGGCGAGAAUCGCAAUGUCAUCUUCGCCCGCACCCAGGCCCUGCUCGAUGACUUUGUUGUUGGCCAGAGGAAUCGAUACGGUCUUUCGGGCGUCGCAUCGGCUGCAGUACACCUUGCCCUCGACGGUGGUGAUCCCGAGAGCGAGGACGUGGGCGAUGGGGGGUGUAGCCUUCGGUGGCACACGACGACUUUCGGGUCGAGCGAGUGCUUGCCACCGUACAUGUCCAUGAUGAGCUGCAUCAUGACGUCGCGCUUUCAUCUCCCAGCUACUUCCGACAUCCUGCUGCCACCUGCACCUCUAGUUUUCGGGUUGAGCGAGUGCUUGCCACAGUACAUGCCCAUGAUGAGCUACAUCAUGAUGUCGCGCUUGAUGCAGAAUAAGUCAUCGUAUAAAUGGCAGCUAGAGCUAGGUGAGGUCAUUGCUGAGAUAUGUUCUCUGAUCUUUCUACACGAGAACAAACCAGACCCAAUUGUUCAUGGAGAUCUUAAGCCCAUCAACAUUCUCCUUGAUGCUAACUUAGUCAGCAAACUUAGUGGCUUUGGGGGGGUAGCACGAGAAUGCUCGCGAGUAAAAACGAGCAUACUUAGUCAACAUGGAAAGGCAUUUCGAGCUGUCAGGAGCUAG
rnacentral:rRNA from 1 species